rnacentral:pre_miRNA from 1 species
CAUCGUGCACAGGUUUGAGUGUUUGUGUUUGGCUAGUCGCAUUCAGCCUUUGAACGGUAGA